UAGGGAAUCUUCCACAAUGGACGAAAGUCUGAUGGAGCAACGCCGCGUGAGUGAAGAAGGGUUUCGGCUCGUAAAACUCUGUUGUUAAAGAAGAACAUAUCUGAGAGUAACUGUUCAGGUAUUGACGGUAUUUAACCAGAAAGUCACGGCUAACUACGUGCUAG
rnacentral:rRNA from 1 species